rnacentral:lncRNA from 1 species
CACAAAAUGGAAUCCAGAGAGGAAUCUGGAGAGGAGUGAAAAAUGAUUAUACUUUUGAAUAAGGAUUGCAGAGUGAUAUUUAAGCUUGAAGGAGAGGAAGAGGACUUUUCUGGUAUGAGGAAGAGAGUCACGGUUCAGGUCGGAAAAUGGCAUGAGGAAAUAGAUUAUGAAAUGACUUCAGGAUCUAUUUUAAGUGUAUUAAAUGAGUGAACUGACUGGGCA